rnacentral:rRNA from 1 species
AACGAACGCUGGCGGCAUGCCUAACACAUGCAAGUCGAACGAGACCUUCGGGUCUAGUUGCGCACGGGUGCGUAACGCGUGGGAACCUGCCCUUAGGUUCGGAAUAACUCCCCGAAAGGGGUGCUAAUACCGGAUAAUGUCUUCGGACCAAAGAUUUAUCGCCUUUGGAUGGGCCCGCGUUGGAUUAGCUAGUUGGUAGGGUAAAAGCCUACCAAGGCGACGAUCCAUAGCUGGUCUGAGAGGAUGAUUAGCCACACUGGGACUGAGACACGGCCCAGACUCCUACGGGAGGCAGCAGUGGGGAAUAUUGGACAAUGGGCGAAAGCCUGAUCCAGCAAUGCCGCGUGAGUGAUGAAGGCCUUAGGGUUGUAAAGCUCUUUUACCCGGGAUGAUAAUGACAGUACCGGGAGAAUAAGCUCCGGCUAACUCCGUG